rfam:Salmo salar isolate Sally breed double haploid chromosome ssa11, whole genome shotgun sequence.
UCCCGUGUGGCUCAGUUAGUAGAGCAUGGUGUUUUGCAACGCCAGGGUUGUGGGUUCGAUUCCCACGGGGGGAC